GGUGAAAAAGCCGACUGGAUUUUAAAACUUGUUGGUGAAGAGAAGGCACAUGCAAGCUGCUGUGAGAAGCCACACAAGGCAGAGAAAGAAGAGAAAAUAUGUAAAGAAAAAGAGGAAAAGCCAAAGCCACGUCCCAUCGAUUGCAGUGAUGUCAAAUCAACAAGAGGAAACGGAAUAUAUAAGAUCUAUCCAAAAUAUUCUCAAGGAUUUGAUGUUUAUUGUGAUUUCGAGAGCGACAAUGGAGGAUGGACGGUGUUUCAGAGGAGAUUAAACGGUAUGACAGACUUUUACAGAGGUUGGGAAGCGUAUGAAAAUGGAUUUGGAAAUUUAGAGGCCGAAUUCUGGUU